GCCGCAGACCUGGACCAGAUUGACUGAACGACUAGUAAGCCGACAGUAUUUCCCUGCAUAUACACAUUUUUGAAGUGUAUGGCAUCGAGCGGAAGUUUCCGACGUUUUGUUUGUGCAGUAAUAUUACUUGUGUGUUCUUUAUCGACAGCUGUCUGGCCUUCAGAAGUUUCUCCCCCUGCUGGUUGCCGCUAGUUCACUGCCUGCACCUCGUCUCCACAGGACGACCACAACCUCUGCGCGCACCAGAAAGACAACAAUAAUUCCUCAAGUGGUCACUCACUUGGACUGAUCAUCGAAUGUGGAGAACGCCCAACAUCUGCUAACGGAAGUUCUGGUCUCGGAACUGUGUAACGAAGAGGAUUCUAUACCAGUUGUCAAGUGUCUCCUGCAAGAGAAGAUAAGAAGAGAACCCCGCUUAGGCUCGUAGCUCAGAAUCUCGAAUCUGGAUGUGGGCCACGUCACGUGGUCACGAGAUGGAAGAUGGACUUCAGUUCGAAAUGGGACGAGAGGAAAUUGCUAAUGAUCUGCGUGUCUGAAAUAAACAUCAGGCAAAACAUAACCACAAAGUCGAACGAAGCAAUUACUGGAGUACUUCAAUAAAUGUUGUGACGUUUGACAAGACAAUCCGCGUGUGUUUUAAAUUGUUAAAUAUUUAUUUGCGCAUUUCAUAAAUCGCUGUCGUAGUUAGCAUAAUCGAUUGUUGCGAGACUAUUUCGAGGCCGGCUUUCGAGUGUGUUUUAACGGAGCUAUGUUUCCAGGCGGUAACGUUCGGUAAUACCGGGAUUUCAGUGGCUGUGGGUCUUGUGACGUGUGCGUGCGUGUGUGUGUGUGUGUGUUCGGAUGUGAAAAUGAUGGAACAGUUUCAUAGACUGGCGUCAUCAAGGCGAAGCGUCGCCAUCUCUACGACAGCAAUUCUUCUCCAUCUUCUGUUAAGCGUCCGACUUCUUCCGAAAGCUGACGCUGUCUUGGAUUACG